CGCUGCUCCCGCUGCACAGAGGCGUUUCCGGCACCUCUGCUAUCUCGGGGCUGCCACGAGAUUUCUGACUCUUCCUCACUCGGCAAACACGCAGCUUGCUCUCGCCAUGCACCUCGCACAUCUCAUCCUCACCGUCUUCCUGGGACAGCUCCUCGGCACCUCGGGGCAGAUCACGGUCAUCCAGGAAGAUGGACAAGUCACGGUGAAGCAGGGACACACCUUCCACACCACCUGCAAAUACCAGACCAGUGGUUUUGACGGCUUGCUCUGGUACCAGCUGCGGAAAGGCCAAGCCCCCCAGCUGCUCUCCUAUCAAUCAGGGACUGGCCCCAGGCACAGCGGCCGUAUCACCACGCACCUGAACACCACGGGGGAAUCCAGUGUGCUGAAGGUGGAGGAAGUGGAGGGCUCUGACAGCGCCUUGUACCUGUGUGCUGUACAAGACACCCUGCAGCCCCGUUUGCAUGGACACACGUGA